UGGGGAAUAUUGCACAAUGGGCGCAAGCCUGAUGCAGCCAUGCCGCGUGUAUGAAGAAGGCCUUCGGGUUGUAAAGUACUUUCAGCGAGGAGGAAGGCGGUAAGGUUAAUAACCUUAUCGAUUGACGUUACUCGCAGAAGAAGCACCGGCUAACUCCGUGCCAGCAGCCGCGGUAAUACGGAGGGUGCAAGCGUUAAUCGGAAUUACUGGGCGUAAAGCGCACGCAGGCGGUCUUUCAAGUCGGAUGUGAAAUCCCCGGGCUCAACCUGGGAACUGCAUUCGAAACUGGCAGGCUAGAGUCGUGUAGAGGGGGGUAGAAUUCCAGGUGUAGCGGUGAAAUGCGUAGAGAUCUGGAGGAAUACCGGUGGCGAAGGCGGCCCCCUGGACAAAGACUGACGCUCAGGUGCGAAAGCGUGGGGAGCAAACA
rnacentral:rRNA from 1 species